AGCGGCAGUGGAGUAGUUUGAGAAGGAGCAGCGCACAUUGCUAACUAUAACCCCCGAGGCAUUGAUUGUGUCGCUUCAGAUCUGCAGAGGCAUCGGCGUGGACGCAUCUGCUGUGCCGAGCGUGUGAAACGAGACGUUUAGAAAGAGGACAGCGGGCCUUAUCGCAAACUCGGGAUUGUAGAGAUAAGGAAGAGGAGAGGCAAGAAGGGGAAAAAAAAAAGAGAAACGAAGCUCAAAGUGUUCCGACACAUCUGUAUCCCGACACGUUGCUUUUCUUUAGUUAACCCAAGCUUUCAAAUGCAUUUUGCAGAAGGCGUGUUUUGAAUUGCGUUUGUUUCAUUUUGUGAGACAUGCCUCUUCAGUGACACUUCUCCGCACUGUCUUUGAAUCGUUUUUAGGGUUUGUGUGCAGCGCUGCCUGGUGUUUUCUGGAUUCCUUUUUAUAUUUUCCGGAAGUGGGCAUAUGAUCUGAACUUGAAGAAACGCAAAGUAGCGUUUUUCCUUUAGCGCUGGGUGACUCUGUUUUGAUCAUGGUUUGAUUUGAUAGCCAAGCCGAGCUGCUUGCUGCUGCUGCUGUCCGAGUUGAUCAGUACCUCGCUUAUCCAGUGACCAGAGCUAGGACAAUACCUGCACAUCUAGCAACGCAGCCACUCAGCCACACAUUGCUUUAUACCCUACAUAUCUUUUGUUAUACAUUUUUUUGCUGACUGCGAGGAAUUAAAAAGUGAUCCAAGGAAUAUGCUGCCAAAGGAGUAUAGAAUCUGUAUGCCACUGACAGUGGAAGAGUACAGGAUCGGACAGCUGUACAUGAUCAGCAAGCACAGUCACGAGCAGAGCGACCGGGGAGAGGGGGUGGAGGUGGUGCAAAACGAGCCCUACGAGGACCCCGCGCACGGCAAGGGCCAGUGCACAGAGAAGCGCGUGUACCUCAACAGCAAACUCCCUAGCUGGGCUAGAGCAGUGGUGCCCAAGAUCUUCUACGUGACGGAGAAAGCCUGGAACUAUUACCCAUACACCAUCACAGAGUACACUUGUUCCUUUUUGCCGAAGUUCUCCAUUCAUAUAGAAACAAAAUACGAAGACAACAAUGGAAGCAAUGACAAAAUCUUCGGCAGCGAGGCGCAGGACGUGGACAGGGAGGUCUGCUUCGUUGACAUCGCCUACGACGAGGUCCCUGAGCGCUACUACAAAGAGUCAGAGGACCUGCGCUAUUUCAAGUCUGAGAAAACAUCCCGUGGUCUGCUCAAGGAGGGAUGGAGGGACAGCCAGCAGCCGAUCAUGUGCUCCUACAAGCUGGUGAAUGUGAAGUUCGAGGUGUGGGGGCUGCAGACACGAGUCGAGCAGUUUGUGCACAAGGUUGUUCGAGACGUGCUGUUGCUUGGACACAGACAAGCUUUCGCCUGGGUGGACGAGUGGAUCGACAUGACCAUGGAUGAAGUGAGAGAAUUCGAAAGAGCCACUCAGGAAGCCACCAACAAGAAGAUCGGGAUCUUCCCCCCCACAAUCUCUAUCAGCGAAACCCCCCUGCCCUGCUAUACCCACAGCGGCCCCUCCAGCGCCCCCUCCACCCCCCUUGCCACUGACGCCCCCGAAUUCCUCUCCGUGCCCAAGGACCGGCCCCGCAAGAAGUCAGCCCCUGAGACCCUGACCCUGCCGGACCCCGCAGACAGGGUGCCCCGCCUGCGCAUGCCUUCCCUGCGCCUGCCCCAGCGCUCGCCAUCCCACCAGCCCUCCGACGCCAACCCCCAAUAACUGCUGUGUGUGUGUGUGUGUGUGUGUGUGUGUGUGUGUGUGUUUGUUGAUAGUGAAACAAUUGCAUGGAGGAAAGCGGUUUUUUGGGGGGGGAGGGGUUUACUGCAGGCUACUUCAUUUUGUCACACACUGUCUGCUGAAGGGGAUUUUAAAAGGCUCAGUCUCUUGAGCACGUUUUCCUGUUAGGCUGUAUUGAGCCGUUUUUUUUUUUAAAUGCUAUGUGUUCCUUUCAUUUAGAAUGUGGCUGUUUUAACUCGCCUGCCGUGCAAGUUUUGAGUCUAUAGCAGAAUGUACAAGUGAAGUGAGCUUUUGAAAGGGUAGUACCGCGCGGUUCCUUUGGACAGUCUGAGAGGGUGUUCGCUGUUGCCCAGUCGCGUAAGUUUCUCUCUAAUGUCUGAGAAUGUUUCUUUUUGGACACAUGAACCAAGUUUUACUCUAAUAAAGGUGCACCAUGGUAAAAGCAUAGCAGAGUAGUAGUGAAUUGUAAAAGCAUGCUGGACAGUGCAGUUUGGUAAGGCAUGGCUGUGUGGAGCUUAGCAAACAGAAGAACAUGGUUCAGUGCAUGUUUACUGUGGUACACUGUUAUAAGGUCAUUGGAGAGGUGUCAGUUCUUAGGGCUUCACGGCUGGAUAUCCAGUGAUAUCCAGGCUGUCAAGAAUAUCCGUUGGUUUUCACCCAGUUGUCCCCUUUGAUAUGUGAUCUCUGUUGUUUCAGCUUUGUGUAUCAUUAGCUUUUGAAAGCCUGUUGAUAUUGCCAGUGUACCCUAGGGGUAGCAGAUUCCCAUGGUUAAGAAUUGCCGCCUUCUAAUAAAAGGGGGUGCCUUGUGUAUAUGCUAGCUAGCUAGACACAAGACCUUACAUCCAGUACUGCAAACUUUGCUGCAAACAGUACAUUGCUGCUUUGUGUUCCUGUGUGAAUUAUUGAAAAGCCGAUGGAGUCUGUUUGUCUAAACAGCGGCAAAUCUGUUUAGUUAUUUAAAAAAGGGCUCCAGAAAUCCAACAGUGCACAAUGCGAGUCUCAGUCUUCAGUGUAUUGCUGUAAAACACCAAGGAAGAUUCCUAUUGUAAUUAUUAAGUGUGGUGGCAUUUCGAUCUGUCAGCAUUGUAGAGCGAUCUAAUAAACCCCAGAACUUGUAGAGUACCAUUUUAAAACGAUGGCUUAAUCAAUAAAAUAAAUCUUGCACAGCGUUCCAUACCUUAACAAAUGCCUGCCCAUUGUAAGAGAAGGCUGUUGUUGAUUCGAAGAUAUAUAUUAAAAAAAGUGAAUGCAAAGUUGACUAGUUGCGUAGUAUCCAUUGUUAAAAAGAAAAAAACAGACAGAGACUUGAUUAAACUGAGCAUGUUUCAGGAAUAAAAUGUCCCUUUUAUCUCAGUGCCUCUCUGCAUGCGAUGCUGUAUCUUUUAGUCUGUAAACCAAAUCUGUAACAUACCUUAUAUAAAAUACUUACCGGGAAUGCGUUUUUGAUGUACCUUCUUCAAGCUGUCAAGCCUCAGAGCUGGACGGUUUUUUUCUUUUUGUAUUAUUUGUUUUUUUAAAGAUAUGAUACCACUGUAAAAUAAGCUGGCCAUAUCUGAACCAAAUUCAAUAACUGAACCCUGAACACCAGCAGGAAGACAUUUCAGUGGCCAGCACUGAAACACACUGUGCCCCUCAACACCCUCCUCCUGCCUGCCUGUCCGCAGCCGCUGUCAGAGCGGGGCUCCGCCGAACAGGGGAAGAGGACAUCGACACGGCAGAGAGCAGCAACUGGAAGCUGGGCUUCAUUUAAACAGGAGCUGGCUUCGAAAACUCACUAGGGUGUCUUUUUAAAUGUUUUUUUGUUUUGCUUUGUUUUGCUUUUUUUUAAUUUAGCAUGUUUGUUAAUAUCUCCUGUGGUUUCACUUGUCAUCGAACUGUAAAACAAACAAAAAUAAUAUUAAUUGUAUUACUAAUUUCGGUUGCAUUCCAUGACAGGUUUGCUGUUUCUUUUUUGUGUGUAAUUGUUUCAGAUUUAAGAGGACCAAGUUUUGGAAUGUGUACCUGUUAAGGAAUGUAAAUCCACUCUGUGUUCAUUCAGAAGUGCCACUCUGUCAGGAUACUGAGGAUGUUAUGCUUUACAAACAGCAGGCGGUGAGUUUAUGUGGUCGGGGGCUGUGGACUCACACGUCUGUCAGCACUAUAAGAAAUAUUCCACACCUACUGAUCAGGGCAAAUGUACAGUGAAGAUUGGGAAGACGACGGCUGCAGAGGACUGUGCGAUUUGAAAGGCUUUGAUUGACAUGCACAGUAAUCCACGCACUGCAUGCAGGUUGUGAGCAAGCUGGAUCGACCAGAGCGGACCAAUGCGCAGGGAGUUAUCCCUCGUGGAGCGA